CAGACCCAGGGUACAUCUAAGAAAGUUUCAACAUUAGACAAAUUUAUUUCAUGCAUAUUAUAGAUUUAAAUGCAAAUAAAACCACAGAUUUAUAGAACAGAGUCAAACUAACCAGCUCAUGUUUUGACCACAGAACCAGGUACCAGCAUUGAUGAAAUCCAGAGGGUACUGAAAACUGCAGUGGUGCUGGGCGAACAGGUAGUCCACAAGACGAGGUCGAAGAUGGAUAGCGGGACAGAAGCCAGUGGUGGGAAUCUGAUCCAGG